rnacentral:rRNA from 1 species
UACAGAGGGUGCAAGCGUUAAUCGGAAUUACUGGGCGUAAAGCGUGCGUAGACGGCUGCGUAAGUCAGAUGUGAAAGCCCCGGGCUCAACCUGGGAAUUGCAUUUGAGACUGCGUAGCUAGGGUGCGGAAGAGGGAAGCGGAAUUUCCGGUGUAGCGGUGAAAUGCGUAGAUAUCGGAAGGAACACCAGUGGCGAAAGCGGCUUCCUGGUCCAGCACCGACGUUCAGGCACGAAAGCGUGGGGAGCAAACAGG